UACGAAGGGGGCUAGCGUUGUUCGGAAUUACUGGGCGUAAAGGGCGCGUAGGCGGUGUGUCAAGUCAGGCGUGAAAGCCCCGGGCUCAACCUGGGAACCGCGCUUGAGACAGGCACGCUAGAGUUCGGGAGAGGAUGGUGGAAUUCCCAGUGUAGAGGUGAAAUUCGUAGAUAUUGGGAAGAACACCGAUGGCGAAGGCAGCCAUCUGGACCGACACUGACGCUGAGGCGCGAAAGCGUGGGGAGCAAACAGG
rnacentral:rRNA from 1 species